GAUGAACGCUGGCGGCGUGCUUAACACAUGCAAGUCGAACGAUGAGGCCUUAGCUUGCUUUGGUGGAUUAGUGGCGCACGUGUGAGUAUCCCGUGGGCAACGUGCCCAGGACUGUGGACUACCCCCGGGAAACCGUGGCCAAUACCGCAUAGGUGCCAAUGCCCCCUAGUCUUCGGUUGGGACGUAUUUGCGGUUUUGGAUCGGAUCACGGCGUAUCAGCUUUUUGGUGGGGUUGUUGCCUACCAAGGCGCCGACGGGUAGCCGCCCUGACAGGGUGACCGGCCACCAUGGGACUAAGACACGGCGCAGACGCCUACGGGGGGCAGCAGGGGGGAGGAUUGCACAGUAAGGGGAAGACUGAUGAAGCAGCGCCGCGGGGGGGAUGAAGGACGACGAGGGGUAAACAACUGUUAGUAGGGAAGAAGGGGAAGUGACGGUACCUGCAGAAAAAGCACCGGCUAACUACGUG
rnacentral:rRNA from 1 species